rnacentral:rRNA from 1 species
GACGAACGCUGGCGGCGUGCCUAAUACAUGCAAGUAGAACGCAGUUGCGAACGGGUGAGUAACGCGUAGGUAACUGCCUCAUAGCGGGGGAUAACUAUUGGAAACGAUAGCUAAUACCGCAUACUGUGAGAUGUACCUGCGUUGUAUUAGCUAGUUGGCGAGGUAAAGGCUCACCAAGGGGACGAGACAUAGCCGACCUGGGAGGGUGGUCGGCCACACUGGGACCGGGACACGGCCCAGACUGCUACAGGGGGCAGCAGAAGGGAAACUUCGGGAAGUGGCGGAAGUCUGGGCGAGAAACGCCGCGUGAGUGAAGAAGGUUUUCGGGUCGUGAAGCUCUGUUGUUGGAGAAUCGGUAGCUACCCAGAAAGGGACGGCUAACUACGUGCCAGCAGCCGCGGUAAUAC